UAAGGAAUAUUGGACAAUGGGCGCAAGCCUGAUCCAGCCAUGCCGCGUGCAGGAUGACGGCGCUCAGCGUUGUAAACUGCUUUUGUUUGGGAAAAAACCCUUGCUUUAUAGCGAGGCUGAUGGUACCAAAAGAAUAAGGGACGGCUAACUUCGUGCCAGCAGCCGCGGUAAUACGAAGGUCCCAAGCGUUAUCCGGAUUUAUUGGGUUUAAAGGGUGCGUAGGCGGGCUAUUAAGUCAGUGGUGAAAUCUCCGAGCCUAACUCGGAAAUUGCCAUUGAUACUGAUGGUCUUGAGUACAUUUGAAGUGGGCGGAAUGUGUCAUGUAGCGGUGAAAUGCUUAGAUAUGACACAGAACACCGAUUGCGUAGGCAGCUCACUAAACUGUAACUGACGCUGAGGCACGAAAGCGUGGGGAGCAAACAG
rnacentral:rRNA from 1 species